rnacentral:tRNA from 1 species
GCCUGGCUGGCUCAGUCGGUAGAACAGGAGACUCUUAAUCUCAGGGUCGUGAGUUCAAGCCCCGUGUUGGGCA